UACAGAGGGUGCGAGCGUUAAUCGGAAUUACUGGGCGUAAAGCGCACGUAGGUGGCGACGUAAGUCGGGUGUGAAAGCCCCGGGCUCAACCUGGGAAUUGCAUUCGAGACUGCAUUGCUGGAGUACGGAAGAGGAGGGCGGAAUUCCCGGUGUAGCGGUGAAAUGCGUAGAUAUCGGGAGGAACAUCAGUGGCGAAGGCGGCUUCCUGGACCGAUACUGACGCUGAGGCGCGAAAGCCAGGGGAGCAAACGGG
rnacentral:rRNA from 1 species